AUGACCGUCGUCUCUGCCCCGCAGCGGGAGCCGCUCGUCCUGGCUGGCCGCCUUGCGCCGCUUGGCUUUUCCGCCCGCGGUUACGUCGGGGCCCUCCCGAUGGUGACCACGGUUCCGCCGCCUAUCCCCCGGAUCCCGGAUCCCCACUUCCUAGGGGGCGACGCGCCCUGUGUGACCCCACAGCCUCGCGCUCCAGCAGCUCUGCCCAACUGCAGCCUCGCCGCGGCGGGAGGCGCCCCCCGGGCCGCGCCGAAGAAGCGGCGGAAGAAGAAGGUGCGGACCAGUAGAGCGGGGCAGCUGCCCAGCCGCUUCCACCAGUAUCGGCAGCACCGGCCGAGUCCGGAGAGUAGCCGGAGCCCGGCGACGGGCCACACCGGAACGCAGGCGGUCCCGGGCCAGGCUGCUGCCUCGGGCCCCGAUCUGCAGCCGCAACCGAGACUGAGGCUGCGAGCACCGUGCCUGCGCCUCUGCGGGCCGCGGCGCCCGGCCAACCCCCGCUCCGCAAAGAGGUUUUAAAAACAAAGGUGGGAAAAUCGGAGAAAAUUGUCCUUCCCCACGGCCAGCUUGUUCAUGGUAUACACUUGUAUGAACAACCAAAGAUAAACAGACAGAAAAGCAAAUACAACUUGCCACUAACCAAGAUCACCUCUGCAAAUAGAAGUGAAAAUAACUUUUGGCAGGAUUCUGUUUCACCUGAUAGAAUUCAGAAGCAGGAAAAAAAGCCUUUUAAAAAUACUGAGGACAUUAAAAAUAUGCAUUUGAAGAAAUCAGCAUUUCUAACUGAAGUUAAGUCAAAAGGAAAAUUAUGCUGGGGCUAAGUUUAGUGAUCCACCUUCUAGUGUUCUUCCAAAGCCACCUAGUCACUGGAUGGGAAGCACUGUUGAAAAUUCCAACCAAAACAAGGAGCUGAUGGCAGUACACUUAAAAACGCUCCUAAAAGUUCAAACUUAGAUAGGAGGUUUCACUAUGUAUGUAAAACAGGUUUUCCCAAAUCCCUGGACUCCUUAAAAGAAAGUUGGUGACAGAGAUGGAAUUUUGCCUUGUUGCAACAUACAAGUGCAAAAAAAGAUACUGAGUUUUAAAAAUUAAAUGCAAACAGCUUGUAUUAUAUUUUAUAUUUUGUAAAUACUGUAUACCAUGUAUUAUGUGUAUAUUGUUCAUACUUUGAGAGGUACAUUAUAGUUUUGUUAUGAAAGUAUGUAUUUUGCCCUGCCCACAUGGCAGGAGUUUUGUAUAUAUACAAUGGAGAAAUUUUAAGUGUGUGCUAAAGCACAUGGAAGACUGAUAUAUUUGCACAAAGUAUGGAAUUUUUUUUUUUCAAGAAA